UUAAUACUCCCUCCGUUCCAAAAUAGAUGACCCAACUUUGUACUAACUAUAAUAUAAAAUUGGGUCAUCUAUUUUGGAACGGAGGGAGUAUUUU
rnacentral:pre_miRNA from 1 species